rnacentral:rRNA from 1 species
UACGUAGGGUGCAAGCGUUAAUCGGAAUUACUGGGCGUAAAGGGAGUGUAGGCGGUCCGAUAAGUCGGGUGUGAAAGCCCUGGGCUCAACCCAGGAAGUGCACUCGAAACUGCCGGGCUAGAGUAUCGGAGAGGUUGGUGGAAUUCUCGGUGUAGAGGUGAAAUUCGUAGAUAUCGAGAGGAACACCGGUGGCGAAGGCGGCCAACUGGACGAAUACUGACGCUGAGACUCGAAAGCGUGGGGAGCAAACAGG